CGAGAGACCGAUAGCGAACAAGUACCGCGAGGAAAAGAUGAAAAGGACUUUGAAAAGAGAGUCAAAGAGUGCUUCAAAUUGUCGGGAGGGAAGCGAAUGGGGGCCGGGGAUACGCCCCGGUCGGAUGUGGAACGGCGAGAGCCGGUUCUCCGAUCGGCUCGGGGCGUGGACCGACGCGGGUCGUGGCGGUGGCCCAAGCCCGGGCCUUUGAUACACCUAUGGAGACGUCGUCGCCUCGAUCGUGGGAUCCAGCACGCGCCGUCUCGGCGUGCUUCGGCACCUGCGUGCU
rnacentral:ncRNA from 1 species